UGCUUAGUAUGAGGAUUGCUGUAAAGUCACUGACACUAGUCAGUGGCUUGAUGCAAUUUGCUGGGUUCCCUAUAUAGGAAACAUUAUUUCUGGCUUAAUGAAGUGACCUAUAUUGGAAUGUUUAUUAUGUGAAGUGCCUUGAGAUGACUCUUGUCGUGAUUUGGCACUAUAUAAAUACAACUGAAUUGAAUUGAACUGAAUUGAGUUUUGCAUGCUUGAUCACCCUUUACCAUUUUUCCAGACAACCCUCCACUCUCAUCUCUGACCGGCUGAACUCUGGAAUACCUCUAUUUGCCGCUCGUCUCUCAGCCCAUCCCUGGCCAAUCCACCUCCAGCAGCCCACCAAGACCCACCUGGAUCUGCACUAUAUCCAUGCUCAGCUCCCUCAGCCUCCAACCUGGAAUACCUACUCCCAGUAAGCUUCUUCAACCCAGACUUCACCACCUUCCCUCUCUCGAGUCUUUACGUCUCAAGACUAUUCCUGCACCUGAUCUCUGUCGGAAGAACUCAGCUACUUUUAUGCUGCUCCUUUAGUUUCUCCCUUAAUAAAUUAUUGUUUGAACUCUCA